GGUUAAGCGACUAAGCGUACACGGUGGAUGCCCUGGCAGUCAGAGGCGAUGAAGGACGUGCUAAUCUGCGAAAAGCGCCGGCGAGGUGAUAUGAACCCUUGACCCGGCGAUGUCCGAAUGGGGAAACCCAGUGUGAUUCGUCACACUAUCGUUAACUGAAUACAUAGGUUAACGAGGCGAACCGGGGGAACUGAAACAUCUAAGUACCCCGAGGAAAAGAAAUCAACCGAGAUUCCCCCAGUAGCGGCGAGCGAACGGGGAGCAGCCCAGAGUCUGAAUCAGCUUGUGUGUUAGUGGAAGCGUCUGGAAAGUCGCACGGUACAGGGUGAAAGUCCCGUACACGAAAAUGCACAGGCUGUGAACUCGAAGAGUAGGGCGGGACACGUGGUAUCCUGUCUGAAUAUGGGGGGACCAUCCUCCAAGGCUAAAUACUCCUGACUGACCGAUAGUGAACCAGUACCGUGAGGGAAAGGCGAAAAGAACCCCGGCGAGGGGAGUGAAAAAGAACCUGAAACCGUGUACGUACAAGCAGUGGGAGCACCUUCG
rnacentral:rRNA from 1 species